rnacentral:rRNA from 1 species
AUACGGAGGGUGCAAGCGUUAUUCGGAAUCACUGGGCGUAAAGGACGCGUAGGCGGGUUGGUAAGUCAGAUGUGAAAUCCUACAGCUUAACUGUAGAACUGCAUUUGAAACUGCUAACCUAGAGUAUGGGAGGGGGAGAUGGAAUUAGUGGUGUAGGGGUAAAAUCCGUAGAUAUCACUAGGAAUACCGAAAGCGAAGGCGAUCUCCUGGAACAUAACUGACGCUAAGGCGUGAAAGCGUGGGGAGCAAACAGGAUUAGAAACCCUAGUAGUCC